UACGUAGGUGGCAAGCGUUAUCCGGAAUUACUGGGCGUAAAGCGCACGCAGGCGGCUAGUCAAGUUCGACGUGAAAGCUCCCGGCUUAACUGGGAGAGGUCGUUGAAAACUGGUUAGCUUGAGGCAAUGAGAGGGGUGUAGAAUUCCCGGUGUAGUGGUGGAAUGCGUAGAUAUCGGGAGGAAUACCAGUGGCGAAAGCGGCACCCUAGCGUUAGCCUGACGCUCAUGUGCGAAAGCGUGGGGAGCGAACGGG
rnacentral:rRNA from 1 species